AACAUAGGGGAGGUAAUCCAUUCUGUGCCAGGUGGGGUCGGGUAUGACCACAAUUACUGCUUUGGAAAAACUGGCUGGCAGAAAUACAUGGCUAGAGUGGAGCAUCCUUCAUCUGGUCGAUUUCUAGAAAUGUACAGUACAGAGCCAGGGGUUCAGUUCUAUACAUCUUUUUACUUAAACGAAACCGGAAAAGGCGGGGCAGCUUACGAGAAAUUUGGCGCCUUUUGCCUGGAGGCCCAACAUUAUCCGGACAGUCCGAACAAACCGAAUUUUCCAACGACGUUAUUAGCCCCGUCCGAGACGUAUCUACAAACAACUACAUACAAAUUUGGAGUGAUGUGAUCUUGGUGAACGCCAAUAUAGUAUUCAUUUUAUUUUAUGUAAUAAUUUUUUUAUAAUACACAAUAUUUUGUAAAUAAAACGUUGAUAAAUAUG
rnacentral:misc_RNA from 1 species